GUAGCUGGUUCCUCCAGUUUCCCCGUGAUAGCUGGAGUUCAUUGGUUAUAUCCGUAAAGUGAAUGAUUAGAGGAUCUGGGGUCGAAAACGACCUCAACCUAUUCUCAAACUUUCAAUGGGUAUGUUGUCUCGGUUUCUUUGUUGAACUGUUGACACGAACGCGAACUCCAAGUGGGCCAUUUUUGGUAAGCAGAACUGGCGCUGUGGAUGAACCAAACGUUGGGUUAAGGUGCCUAACUUUUCGCUCAUGAGACCCCAUAAAAGGCGUUGGUUGAUAUAGACAGCAGGACGGUGGCCAUGUGUUGGUACCCGCUAAGGAGUGUGUAACAACUCACCUGCCGAAUCAACUAGCCCUGAAAAUGGAUGGCGCUUGAGCGAGAGACCUAUACCCAACCGCUGGCUUGUGCGUGCCUGUCGCCUGGCUGCAACGAGUAGGAGGGUCGGUAUGUCGAAGGUUUUGGGCGUCCAACUGGAGCCUGCCGCGCAAGGGUGGUAGUAGCAAAUAUUUAAGUUCGAUCCUUGAAGACUGAAGUGGAGAAGGUUCCACGUGAACAGUAGUUGAAUGGGUCAGUCGAUCCUAAGAUACUGGCUUAUGCUUGUAUCAUCGAGAGGAAAAGUCUCUUUCUCCGGAUAUCAAAAGGGAAUAGGGUUAAUAUUCCCUAACGCAGACACAGAGAUUGUGGCUCUUACGAGUCACUUGCGCGGUAACGCAUUCGAACUUUGUUGUCGCUCAGAGACCGAGCUAGAGUUCUCUUCUCUAAAGGAACGGACUCCCUGGAAUCGGUUCAGCCGUAGAUAGGGACGUUGUUUCCGUAAAGCAUCGCGGUUUCUGUGAUGUCUCGUGUUCUCUGGACGGCCCUUGAAAAACCAAGGGAGGCUAUUAAUCUGUGCUGCACGCGAUAUCCGCAUCAGGUCUCCAAGGUGAACAGCCUCUAGUCGAUAGAAUAAUGUAGGUAAGGGAAGUCGGCAAAUUAGAUCCGUAACUUCGGGAAAAGGAUUGGCUCCAUGACCGGGUCGGUUGGCUUGUUAACUGAUGCUUGUGCGGUUUCGUCCGUGGCUGGCUGAUACUAACGUUGAUGCUGGACUAGUGACAUGACUGCCUUGUGGACGUUUUCAGGUGUGCUUUGUCUUCGGACUUAGUAUCCUGAUCGACCAUCAAAACGGUCGAACUGGAACUGGUACGGACUCGGGGAAUCCGACUGUCUAAUUAAAACAGAGGAGACAGAUGGUCCUUGCGGACGUUUACUGUCUCUGAUUUCUGCCCAGUGCUCUGAAUGUUAAAUCGUAGUAAUUCGAGUAAGCGCGGGUAAACGGCGGAGUAACUAUGACUCUUUAAGGUAGCCAAAUGCCUCGUCAGCUAACUACUGACGCGCAUGAAUGGAUUAACGAGAUUCCCACUGUCCCUAACUACUAUCUAGCGAAACCACAGCCAAGGAACGGGCUUGGCAAAAAAUAGGGGAAAGAAGACCCUGUUGAGCUUGACUCUAGUUUGACAUUGUGAAGAGUCAUGAGAGGUAGCAUAGGUGGGAGACUUCUGGUCGACAAAUGAAAUACCACCACUUUCAUCGAUUCUUUACUUAUUCGGUGAGAAGAGAAUUGAGCUUUAUUUUUUUUCUUUGUAUUAAGCAAAGCCACCUGGUGGUAUUGCGACUCUCGCCGAAGACAGUGUCAGGCGGGGAGUUUGACUGGGGCGGUACAUCUGUCAAACUGUAACGCAGGUGUCCUAAGGCUAGCUCAGAGAGACGGAAACUCGUAGAGCAAAAGGCAAAAGCUCGCUUGAUCUUGACUUUCAGUACGAGUACAGACCGCAAAGCGUGGCCUAUCGAUCCUUUAAUCCAGAUGGUUUCUGGUAAGAGUGUCAGAAAAGUUACCACAGGAUAACUGGCUUGUGCACAAGCGUCCAUAGCGACGUUGCUUUUUGAUCCUUCGAUGUCGGCUCUUCCUAUCAUUGCGAAGCAGAAUUCGCCAAGCGUUGGAUUGUUCACCCACUAAUAGGGAACGUGAGCUGGGUUUAGACCGUCGAGACAGGUUAGUUUUACCCUACUGUUGACUAAUUGUUGCGAUAGUAAUCCUGCUUAGUACGAGAGGAACAGCAGGUUCAGACAUUUGGUUCAUGGACUUGACCGAUCGGUCAAUGGUCCAGUUACCAUCUGGGGAUUAUGACUGAACGCCUCUAAGUCAGAAUCCCACCUAGUCAAGGCAGCGAUAACUUUGUUUCCGGUGUCGGGAGGCAAUUCUAUCUCGUGGCAACACGAGAGCUUAUGCCCUAAUAAAUGACCCUGCCGGUAUGGAUAAUCCCUGCUGGUUGUCAAAGCCAGAUCACUCUGGUUCAAUGUCAUGCAAAAUCACAUGUCUCGACAUGUAUACUGGUCAAGGUGUUGUAUCCAGUAGAGCAGUGUUUGUAUACUGCGAUCUGUUGAGACUAACCUUUGAUCGGGUGUUUUGU
rnacentral:rRNA from 1 species